rnacentral:tRNA from 1 species
GUUUUUAUAGUUGAAGUACAACGGCAGUUUUUCAUAUUGCUGGUCUCGGUGAUAGUCCGAGUAAAAAUU